rnacentral:rRNA from 1 species
GAUGAACGCUGGCGGCGUGCCUAAUACAUGCAAGUCGAGCGAACAGACGAGGAGCUUGCUCCUCUGACGUUAGCGGCGGACGGGUGAGUAACACGUGGAUAACCUACCUAUAAGACUGGGAUAACUUCGGGAAACCGGAGCUAAUACCGGAUAAUAUAUUGAACCGCAUGGUUCAAUAGUGAAAGACGGUUUUGCUGUCACUUAUAGAUGGAUCCGCGCCGCAUUAGCUAGUUGGUAAGGUAACGGCUUACCAAGGCAACGAUGCGUAGACGACCUGAGAGGGUGAUCGGCCACACUGGAACUGAGACACGGUCCAUACUCCUAAGGGAGGCAGCAGUAGGGAAUCUUCCGCAAUGGGCGAAAGCCUGACGGAGCAACGCCGCGUGAGUGAUGAAGGUCUUCGGAUCGUAAAACUCUGUUAUUAGGGAAGAACAAAUGUGUAAGUAACUAUGCACGUCUUGACGGUACCUAAUCAGAAAGCCACGGCUAACUACGUG